rnacentral:rRNA from 1 species
AACGUAGGACGCAAGCGUUAUCCGGAGUUACUGGGCGUAAAGGGCGCGUAGGCGGCGCGGUAAGUCACUUGUGAAAUCUCUGAGCUUAACUCAGAACGGCCAAGUGAUACUGCAGUGCUAGAGUGCAGAAGGGGCAAUCGGAAUUCUUGGUGUAGCGGUGAAAUGCGUAGAUAUCUGGAGGAACACCGGUGGCGAAGGCGGCAUCCUGGACCGACACUGACGCUGAUGCGCGAAAGCCAGGGGAGCAAACGGG